rnacentral:rRNA from 1 species
CUCAUUAAAUCAGUUAUAGUUUAUUUGAUGGUCUCUUUUGUCUUUUUUUACCUACUUGGAUAACCGUGGUAAUUCUAGAGCUAAUACAUGCGCAAGGUCCCGAGCGCGGGGGGCAGGGCUUCACGGCCCUGUCCUCGCAUGCGCAGAGGGAUGUAUUUAUUAGGGUUAAAAACCAGCGGCAGGGGGUCAGCAAUGGGCCCCCUGCCAAACACUCCUGGUGAUUCAUAGUAACUCUUUCGGAUCGCAUUCAUG